UUUGAUUCAAUGUACAAGGAAUUAGAUUAGAAAGAUAAAAUAAUGUUAGGUUGAUCUUGUUGAGUUGAUUCGAUGUAUAGUUGAUAGGACUUCAACGUCGGUAAAGUUACUCUUCUAGUUCGUACUGUGAAGAUGGAUCGUAGAGUAAGCGCAUGAUCGCAACACAUCAGAUGGGUCGCAGAGCAUUUGCAGCUAUCGUAAAGUUCACUACAAGUCUUAAAGCAUACUUCAGUUCGUAAAGUGGACAAAGGAAUUGUAAAGACAAACAAAGCUUGUUGAGUAAAACCUGAAUGU
rnacentral:lncRNA from 1 species